GNGGUAAGCACUAAGGUGUGGAGAUGGC
rnacentral:piRNA from 1 species